ensembl:misc_RNA Vault Vault RNA
GGGCUGGCUUUAGCCGAGCGGUUCCUUCGAGUCUGGCUUCCCAACCACCCGGAUCCGGUGAUUCGAGACCCGUGGGCGCUCUCCAGUCCUUUU